rnacentral:rRNA from 1 species
AUGGCUAGGAUUAACUAUGGUGUCAUAUCUUUGAUCCCCAAAGUAGUUGGGGCGACGGAUAUUCGGCACUUCCGCCCCAUCACAGUGACCAACGUGUUGGAGCGAAUCUUUGCGAAGGUUUGCGCAACUCUUAUCCCGGUGGCGGAAAGGAUUGCUCACCCCCUUCAGUCCGCGUUCCUGAAGGGCCGACGGAUCCAUGACGGGAUUCUUGCCCUUCAUGAGGUCGUCCACGAGGUGGCGUCUAAGGGGCUUAAGGGGGUCUUCCUCAAAUUGGACUUCUAGAAGGCAUAUGACCGUUUGGACUGGUCCUUUUUGAGGUUGGUGAUGGAGCAUCGAGGAUUUGACGAGAGGUGGUGUUCUUGGAUCAUGCAACUGCUUAGAUCUGGGAACACGGCAAUCAACAUCAAUGGCGAGGUGGGACCCUUUUUACAGGCUUCCAGAGGGAUAAAGCAAGGGGACAUGCUACCUCUUGAGCUUGCAUUGGUUUUCCCUUGA